rnacentral:rRNA from 1 species
UAGGGAAUCUUCGGCAAUGGACGAAAGUCUGACCGAGCAACGCCGCGUGAGUGAAGAAGGUUUUCGGAUCGUAAAACUCUGUUGGUAGAGAAGAACGUUGGUGAGAGUGGAAAGCUCAUCAAGUGACGGUAACUACCCAGAAAGGGACGGCUAACUACGUGCCAGCAGCCGCGGUAAUACGUAGGUCCCGAGCGUUGUCCGGAUUUAUUGGGCGUAAAGCGAGCGCAGGUGGUUUAUUAAGUCUGGUGUAAAAGGCAGUGGCUCAACCAUUGUAUGCAUUGGAAACUUGUAGACUUGAGUGCAGGAGAGGAGAGUGGAAUUCCAUGUGUAGCGGUGAAAUGCGUAGAUAUAUGGAGGAACACCGGUGGCGAAAGCGGGUCUCUGGCCUGUAACUGACACUGAGGCUCGAAAGCGUGGGGAGCAAACA